UACAGGAAACAGCUUGCUGCUUCGCUGACGAGUGGCGGACGGGUGAGUCAUGUCUGGGAAACUGCCUGAUGGAGGGGGAUAACUACUGGAAACGGUAGCUAAUACCGCAUAACGUCGCAAGACCAAAGAGGGGGACCUUCGGGCCUCUUGCCAUCGGAUGUGCCCAGAUGGGAUUAGCUAGUAGGUGGGGUAACGGCUCACCUAGGCGACGAUCCCUAGCUGGUCUGAGAGGAUGACCAGCCACACUGGAACUGAGACACGGUCCAGACUCCUACGGGAGGCAGCAGUGGGGAAUAUUGCACAAUGGGCGCAAGCCUGAUGCAGCCAUGCCGCGUGUAUGAAGAAGGCCUUCGGGUUGUAAAGUACUUUCAGCGGGGAGGAAGGGAGUAAAGUUAAUACCUUUGCUCAUUGACGUUACCCGCAGAAGAAGCACCGGCUAACUCCGUGCCAGCAGCCGCGGUAAUACGGAGGGUGCAAGCGUUAAUCGGAAUUACUGGGCGUAAAGCGCACGCAGGCGGUUUGUUAAGUCAGAUGUGAAAUCCCCGGGCUCAACCUGGGAACUGCAUCUGAUACUGGCAAGCUUGAGUCUCGUAGAGGGGGGUAGAAUUCCAUGU
rnacentral:rRNA from 1 species